AGGGAGUCUUGCUGUUUGAUUAAUGUAAGUAACCCUCCAUUUUUAAAAAUAAUUUUAAUGGUCGGGGGGGGGGGACGACUAGAAUCUAUGUACUCCGAUCGGACGCAGAGUUAAAUAGCGCUGGGUGGGAGGUCCCAGUCACUUUUAAUGAUUUUCAAGCAGGAACCUGGUUACACCUGCCAACAGCCUUUGUUUUAUAUCCAGCUGUUGUGGACUACAUCUCCUCUGAUGCUUUGCUAGCAGUAAAGGUACCAGCAGUGUUAAAUCCUAAUGGUACCCCCAGUCAUAUGGCCUAGUUUGUAG